rnacentral:rRNA from 1 species
AUUGAACGCUGGCGGCAGGCCUAACACAUGCAAGUCGAGCGGAGCGGCGGACGGGUGAGUAAUGCCUAGGAAUCAGCCUGGUAGUGGGGGAUAACGUCCGGAAACGGGCGCUAAUACCGCAUACUAUCAGAUGAGCCUAGGUCGGAUUAUCUAGUUGGUGGGGUAAAGGCCUACCAAGGCGACGAUCCGUAACUGGACUGAGAGGAUGAUCAGUCACACUGGAACUGAGACACGGUCCAUACUCCUACGGGAGGCAGCAGGGGGGAAUAUUGGACAAUGGGCGAAAGCCUGAUGCAGCCAUGCGGCGUGUUGGAAGAAGGUCUUCGGAUUGUAAAGCACGUUAAGUUGGGAGGCGUUACCAACAGAAUAAGCACCGGCUAACUUCGUGCCAGCCGCCGCGGUAAUUC